rnacentral:misc_RNA from 1 species
CCACACUACUUGUAAUCACAGGUGUAGUCAAUGCUGACUUCACCAAAUCAAUCACUUUCUUAUCCCUCACAUCCCUCAUCAAAGCACUUAUCACUAACCCCACCUUCAUGCCAUCCAAAACUGUACUCAAAUCCCCUUUGAUAUACCACAGAUAUCCAGCAAAACUCCUUCUAAUCACCCUCAAUGCUGUAUGUGCACUCCUACCAGGCCUAAAUGCAUAAGAAUUUUGUGAAAAACGUGCUUCAUAUAUAGGCUCCAAUAUCAUAAACAGCACCUCCUGAACAAUCUUAUCC